UGCUAUUUGGCGUCGAGUGGCGAACGGGUGAGUAUCGCGUAGGAAUCUACCCAGUAGAGGGGGAUAGCCCGAAGAAAUUCGGAUUAAUACCGCAUAAUCUCUACGGAGUAAAGAAGGCCUCUUUACAAUGCUUUUACUAUUGGAUGAGCCUGCGUUAGAUUAGUUAGUUGGUAGGGUAAAAGCCUACCAAGGCGACGAUCUAUAGCUGGUUUUACGAGAAUGAUCAGCCACACUGGAACUGAGACACGGUCCAGACUCCUACGGGAGGCAGCAGUGAAGAAUAUUGGACAAUGGGGGAAACCCUGAUCCAGCAAUGUUGCGUGUGUGAAGAAGGUCCGAGGAUUGUAAAGCACUUUCAGUAAGCAAGAAAAAUGUAAAUCUAAUAGAUUUGCAUGUUGACCACUUAUAGAAAAAGCACCGGCUAACUCCGUGCCAGCAGCCGCGGUAAUACGGAGGGUGCGAGCGUUAAUCGGAAUUACUGGGCGUAAAGGGUAAGUAGGCGGUUUAUAAAGUCACAUGUGAAAGCCCUAGGCUUAACCUAGGAAGUGCAUGUGAUACUCAUAAACUAAGGUUUGAUAGAGG
rnacentral:rRNA from 1 species